UACGGUUACCUUGUUACGACUUCACCCCAAUCACCACCCACACCUUCGGCAUCCGCCUCCUUAAAAAGGUUAGCUAAAAUGACUUCGGGUGUAGACGACUUUCGUGGUGUGACGGGCGGUGUGUACAAGGUCCGAGAACGUAUUCACCGCGUCGUUCUGAUACGCGAUUACUAGCGAUUUCAGCUUCAUGAAGUCGAAUUGCAGACUUCAAUCCGAACUUAGACGAGCUUUAAAGGAUUUGCUAGGCCUCGCGGCUUUGCUCCCCGCUGUACUCGCCAUUGUAACACGUGUGUAGCCCUAGACAUAAGGGCCAUGAGGACUUGACGUCAUCCCCACCUUCCUCCUUGUUUCCAAGGCAGUCCCGUUAGAGUGCAUCCGAAGAUUAGCAACUAACGGUAGGGGUUGCGCUCGUUAAAGGACUUAACCCAACAUCUCACGACACGAGCUGACGACAGCCAUGCAGCACCUGUGAAAGUGUCCUAGUAAACUAAGAAAACUGCGUUUCCGCAGCGGUCACUCACAUGUCAAGUCUAGGUAAGGUUCCUCGCGUAGUGUCGAAUUAAACCACAUGUUCCACCGCUUGUGCGGACCCCCGUCAAUUCCUUUGAGUUUUAAUCUUGCGACCGUACUCCCCAGGCGGAUCACUUAACGCGUUAGCUGUGACACUGAUUCUGCUAGGCAAAACCAACAUCUAGUGAU
rnacentral:rRNA from 1 species